CAAUGGGCGAAAGCCUGAUGACGCGACGCCGCGUGAGCGAAGAAGACCUUCGGGUUGUAAAGCUCUGUCAGGAGGGAAGAAGGCUCUACGGGUCAAUAGCCCGUGGGAUUGACGGUACCUCCAGAGGAAGCCCCGGCUAAAUACGUGCCAGCAGCCGCGGUAAUACGUAUGGGGCAAGCGUUGUCCGGAUUUACUGGGCGUAAAGGGCGCGUAGGCGGUUUGUUAAGUCGAAGGUGAAAUCCUCGGGCUCAACUCGAGAAUUGCCUUCGAUACUGGCAAACUAGAGUGGCGGAGAGGAAAGCGGAACUCUUGGUGUAACGGUGGAAUGUGUAGAUAUCAAGAGGAACACCGGUGGCGAAGGCGGCUUUCUGGACGCACACUGACGCUCAGGCGCGAAAGCGUGGGUAGCAAACAGGAUUAGAUACCCUGGUAGUCCACGCCAUAAACGAUGGGUACUAGGUGUCGGGGGUAUCGACCCCUCCGGUGCCGCAGUUAACGCACUAAGUACCCCGCCUGGGGAUUAUGGUCGCAAGGCUGAAACUCAAAGGAAUUGACGGGGCCCCGCACAAGCGGUGGAGCAUGUGGUUUAAUUCGACGCAACGCGAAGAACCUUACCUGGGCUUGACAUGCUUGGGACAGCGCUGGAAACAGCGUCUCUCCUUCGGGAGCCCUUGCACAGGUGCUGCAUGGCUGUCGUCAGCUCGUGUCGUGAGAUGUUGGGUUAAGUCCCGCAACGAGCGCAACCCUCGUUACUAGUUGCCACCAGUUCGGCUGGGCACUCUAGUGAGACUGCCGGUGAUAAACCGGAGGAAGGUGAGGAUGAUGUCAAGUCAUCAUGGCCCUUACGCCCAGGGCUACACACGUGCUACAAUGGUCGGCACAAAGGGUCGCUGAGCCGCGAGGUGGAGCUAAUCCCAAAAAGCCGGCCUCAGUUCGGAUUGGAGUCUGCAACCCGACUCCAUGAAGGCGGAAUCGCUAGUAAUCGCGGAUCAGCAUGCCGCGGUGAAUAUGUUCCCGGGGCUUGUACACACCGCCCGUCAUAUCACCCGAGUCGGGGAUACCCGAAGUCCGUGACCCAACCAUUUGGAGGGAGCGGCCGAAGGUGUGCCUG
rnacentral:rRNA from 1 species